AUGCCAGCCGAGUAUUUCGACGACUGGCUUCUCACACCCACAUUUUCAGCCAGCACGUUCCAGGGGUUCGCCUCGGACGAGGAACCGGCACCAGACACACGCUCCUCGGAGGGCUCACCCUCGGGGUCUGCCACAGACCGCUCUUAUUGGUGGGACGAUCGACCAGAGGAGCAGUGGCGCAGGAAGUGGCUGGGGGGUCCUUGGCAGGCAUCACCUUCAGAGGGGAACGGGGGAGAGACGGACAUGGACGUGUUGGGAGAGGACGUGGGGUUCGAACACGGAGGCAGAGAGAUGGAGGCAGAGGAGAUCGACGUCGCUGAGGGCACGGAGAACGAGCCGGACUUCGCCGGCUGGAUGUACGACACGGGGGACGAACUGUAUCCGGCAAUCACCCCCACAACGACGGAGCACCCAGUACCCACACCGGAAGGAGGGGAGGGGGGAAGGGGGGGCUUCGAGGGGGGGAUGGAUGUCAGGGGCUCAGGAGCAGAGGCACAGGAAAGGGAGGAGAUAGAGACCGAGGGGGAGGAAUCCGAGGGAGAUGUCAGCGAUGACAGCCGUCCGAGGUCUCUGAAUCUCUCCAGCGAAUCGGAGGAUUCACAAAAAGGGGCUCCCGUGGUCAGAGCGAGGGGGUUGCCAAGGGGAACACCCCAGGAAGGAGGGGCCAGAGGGGACUCAGAGAGCAGCAGUUGGAAAUCGGGACCAGCUUCCCCACCAAAGAGCAGUAGGGGGGAGGAGUCCCAGGUAUCGGCAUCAGGCAGCUCUCCGUCAGCAGAAGGACAUGAGUCAGGAUUGGCCACGCCUGCAUCAGAGAGCGAAGAAACGGUCGAAAGGAAGGUCAAAGACAGGGCGUGCGCGCCAAGUUCAAACCUACAAGAGACUGGCGCAGUGAGCAGCCCGGAUAGGGAGCCAGGUCCUAAAGCCCGCCGAAGGGAGGGGGAAGAGUCAGAGGGGUCCGCGUCCGAAGCGUCCAGGAAGGAAGGGAUCCCGGGGGGUAGUAGGACCCAGAGGCGGAAGGAGAGACGGAAGAGGUGGAGUAAGGCUAGAGUCUUAAGCUGGUGUACAGGGGGCGGAGAUUCAGACGGAGCUUCGCCGGUCUAG
rnacentral:lncRNA from 1 species